UGAGGUUUCUAGCCUGAAGCUGCAGUCUCAAU
rnacentral:piRNA from 1 species